rnacentral:lncRNA from 1 species
AUGAUGCCUCUACUGGCUCUGAAUUCGAUUCACCAACCAAACCCAAUUCUGUAUGUGUCGAUCCUUCCACCUCAUGGACUUCAUCAAGUUUAAUUUUAUAGGCAUUAGCUCCUCCACCAAGAAACUCCUUUUCCAAAAAGAUUGCCUGGCUGUUGACAAACACCAUUUAUUCUGCAGCGAGAUAGAAGUAGUACCCUUUAGUUUUUUUUGGAUACCCUACGAACAAGCAUCUAUCAAACUUCGGUCCAAGUUUAUUUAUCUUUAAAUGCAUGACAUAAGUUAGACACUCCUAGACCCUA